AGAGUUUGAUCAUGGCUCAGAUUGAACGCUGGCGGCAGGCUUAACACAUGCAAGUCGAGCGGAGAGAGGUAGCUUGCUACUGAUCUUAGCGGCGGACGGGUGAGUAAUGCUUAGGAAUCUGCCUAUUAGUGGGGGACAACAUUUCGAAAGGAAUGCUAAUACCGCAUACGUCCUACGGGAGAAAGCAGGGGAUCUUCGGACCUUGCGCUAAUAGAUGAGCCUAAGUCGGAUUAGCUAGUUGGUGGGGUAAAGGCCUACCAAGGCGACGAUCUGUAGCGGGUCUGAGAGGAUGAUCCGCCACACUGGGACUGAGACACGGCCCAGACUCCUACGGGAGGCAGCAGUGGGGAAUAUUGGACAAUGGGCGCAAGCCUGAUCCAGCCAUGCCGCGUGUGUGAAGAAGGCCUUAUGGUUGUAAAGCACUUUAAGCGAGGAGGAGGCUACUUUAGUUAAUACCUAGAGAUAGUGGACGUUACUCGCAGAAUAAGCACCGGCUAACUCUGUGCCAGCAGCCGCGGUAAUACAGAGGGUGCAAGCGUUAAUCGGAUUUACUGGGCGUAAAGCGCGCGUAGGCGGCUAAUUAAGUCAAAUGUGAAAUCCCCGAGCUUAACUUGGGAAUUGCAUUCGAUACUGGUUAGCUAGAGUGUGGGAGAGGAUGGUAGAAUUCCAGGUGUAGCGGUGAAAUGCGUAGAGAUCUGGAGGAAUACCGAUGGCGAAGGCAGCCAUCUGGCCUAACACUGACGCUGAGGUGCGAAAGCAUGGGGAGCAAACAGGAUUAGAUACCCUGGUAGUCCAUGCCGUAAACGAUGUCUACUAGCCGUUGGGGCCUUUGAGGCUUUAGUGGCGCAGCUAACGCGAUAAGUAGACCGCCUGGGGAGUACGGUCGCAAGACUAAAACUCAAAUGAAUUGACGGGGGCCCGCACAAGCGGUGGAGCAUGUGGUUUAA
rnacentral:rRNA from 1 species